GGAGAAAUGAGUGGCGUUUUUAAUGAACUGCAGCGAUUUCACCUUUUAUUAAAACUCUCAUCACAUACAUACACUGUAAUGGCAUGCUAGUGUACAGCGCAUAAAGAUGAACCCAGAUGCAGCGCAACCACUGCUGGUGAACUUUAGGUGACCCAGGAGAUGUCUCCUUUUCAGAAUACUCAUUUAUUGCUGUUCUGAUCACUAAUGGCCAAUCAGAUGAUCCAGUGGACAGUCCAGCUAAAGCUGUAACAGACAGUGGAAUUUCCCUGUUUGCUGUGGGUGAGUUGAAAACUUGGUGUUCUUCAUGUCAGAAGUGUUUGUGUUGUAGUCUAAACGGGCAUGACACGUCUGUGUGCACUUCUUCAUGUUUUGACGUGUGGUUCAGAGUAACUAUAGUGAAUAGUACAACGCAGCAAGACAUAGAAUGUGUAUCAGAGCCGAUCCUCCCUAUACACAAAAUACGCAAGCUGCAUAUGGCCCCUGAAACACCAGGGGGCCCCCUUGCUUUAAAAGAUUAUUUAAUUUUAGUUUUGUUUUUGAAUUUGGCCAGCAGUUAUGAAAACGAUCAUUUGAAAAAUUAUAAUUUCUUUUAAUGCGGUGUGCUGUCGCCCUUUCUACGUAAAAAUCAGUUAAAUCAUGUAAUGUGAAUGUCAUAGAGUCUUGCUCGGGACUAAAAAAACGAGUUGAAAGAGUUCCGAGCCACAGAAGAGACACUGCUUCUUAAGCGCUUUCCGCGAGCGCGAUUCGAGACGGAGUGAAACAUGGACAAAUGCGUUUCAUUCAUUCGUUCAUAACCACUCAUAACCCACUCCAUGUUUGCGUAGGGCCCCCUGAAGUAUAGGAUGGGCUCUGAUGUGUAUGUUUAUGUGUGUGUCAGCCUUGUUUCCUUUCUCGCGCUCUUUCUGUUUUGACGCCCAGAGUGCUGAAAUAAUUAUGGUUCAUUACCCGGUGGCUGACUAAUUGCUGUAAUUUUUCAUCAAACUCAUUCCUCCUGGCCCCCUUUAUCACACACACACACACACACACACACACACACACACACACACACACACACACACACACACACACACACACACACACACACAAACACACACUCACUGACACUGUUUCCUGCCUUUCUAAUCAGAUUUCCCAGAGGGACGUGAAUAUAUCUGGCCGUUUGACACAUCUGUGAGACACAUGUACAGCAGGGCGACAUGCCGUGGCAUUUUCCCAAUAUCACUUUACAGCCAAUACACUGUCUGAUAACACUGCAGCAGGUCUGAGACACGUAAGGGUCAUUUCUAUACACACACACCUGUUAAGCAUCAGCUGCACCUAACAGGCCUCCAUUCUAUGACAGUGUUAAAUGGUCAAGUUGGAAAUGUGAAAUAGUGAUUAGUGAAUAGUCAUAGUGCUCAUAUGGGUGAUGAGGGUUCGAGUUUGACCUGCAGCCUGCCCCGAAUCCAUAAUGUGUAAGAAAUGAUGAAGCGGAUCUGUAUAGAAGCUGAUCUGUGCCAUUUCGACUAGCUGAUAUGUUGUAUGUUCUUAAGGGGUAAGGAAUGCUGACCAGUCCGAGAUGAGGAAAAUCGUCACAGAGCCCCAUGAGGAACAUUUACAGCUCACCCAGAUUUCUCCUUUCUGGAGAACCUUCUGCCCAAACUCUCUCGUUGCAUCUGCUUCACUGCUUCAGAACCUCCCCAACCUGUUAAACAAAAGCCACCUGGUAAAAACACCAUGAGUUUUUCUACCUUUUUGUUAUUGCUGUUGUUUGUAACUAUAGUUUUGCUGCAUAUUGAGCCUAUCUGAACAGAGUUAACCCUUCACUAAAUUCUGCCAUCCUUUGUUGCUUUUGUUCCCUUAGACGAGCUUUACAGAAUACACCAUAAUCAUUAAUGGGAAAUUAAUGUAAACAGUAUCAUUUCCAGUAAAAUGUGCACACAAAUUAUGUG
ensembl:lncRNA